UCAGAAGUUAUCAUUUUUUGGUUGUUGUAGGAAUUCAAAUUAUAUAAUUCUAGUCUGCUUUAUCAAUAAUAAGGUUUUUAUUUCAAUUAAGAAGUAGUAAUUUUAAAAUAAAAAAUAUUAAUCACUUUGAGAGUAUUUAACCACAAAGUAAUGAUGUUUGAUCAAAUUAUAUGAGUUAAUUAGGUUAACUAUUGUUAGCAUCCAACUUCGUCCGGG
rnacentral:lncRNA from 1 species